AUUGAACGCUGGCGGCAGGCCUAACACAUGCAAGUCGAGCGGAUGAAGGGAGCUUGCUCCUGGAUUCAGCGGCGGACGGGUGAGUAAUGCCUAGGAAUCUGCCUGGUAGUGGGGGAUAACGUCCGGAAACGGGCGCUAAUACCGCAUACGUCCUGAGGGAGAAAGUGGGGGAUCUUCGGACCUCACGCUAUCAGAUGAGCCUAGGUCGGAUUAGCUAGUUGGUGGGGUAAAGGCCUACCAAGGCGACGAUCCGUAACUGGUCUGAGAGGAUGAUCAGCCACAGGGGAACGGAGCCGCGGCCCGGUCCCCGAGGGAGGGCAGAAGGGGGGAAUUUGGGAAAAGGGGGAAAACCUGACACAACCCUGGCGGGUGGUGGAAAGAGGUUUUCGGAAUGUAAAAACAUUUAAUGUUGGGGGAAGGGAUAAAAAUUAAAUCAUUUCUUUUUUUGACGUAACAAAAAAAAAAAACCCGGCCAAUUUUGGCC
rnacentral:rRNA from 1 species